GGAAGCCAUUAUCCUCAGUAUAUUAACACAGGAACAGAAAAUCAAACACCGCAUAUUCUUACUUAUUAGUGGGAGCUAAAUGAUGAGAACACAUGGACACAUGCGGGGGAACAACACACAAUGGGAACUAACCGAGGGUUGGGGGUGACAGGAGGGAGAGGAGCAGAAAAAACAACUAAUGAAUACUAGGUUUGGUACCUGGGUCACCAAAUAAUCUAUACAAAAACCCUCAUGACACGAGUUUACCUGUGUAACAAAUCUGUAUAUAUACCCCUGAACCUAAAAUAAAACUUAAAAAAAAAAAACCCUGGCCUAUCUAGCUCAGAGAGGCUCUUGGUUUGAAAGAGACAAUGGGUGGUGUGCAAACUGAAGGUCACAUUGACCUUCUAGGCUGAGAUGUUCACAGUUUCCAGUUCUUUAGGAGCUGGCCUGGGCAAUAUAGUUUGAUAUAACAAACAAUAAACUAAUUGACGCCUGGAUGUUAAUGGCCAAAAAGUGCAAGUGUUAUCCCAUUUACAUGGCAUGUAAACACGGUAACAUAUAUGACUCUCCAAUCUCUUCAUGUAUAUCCAGUGCUAAGGAGGAAAUUAUUGCAGGUUCAGGGUUUCAGUCUGACCUCUAGAGGCAACACGUUAAGGGAAAAGAGGCUUUUGAACACUCAAGCCAUGGUUUUGACUAUUGUCCUCUUGGCCAUGCUCAAAGGUAUACAUACAAAAUCUUGUAUAAUCUGGGCAGGGCCCAAGAUGGUACCAGAGGCCGCCAUCACCAUUACAUGACUCAUUAUUUUGUAACUCUUGCCUCAUCCAAACUUUGUUUUUCUCUCGGUUCAAUUUCUCUUUCAAAUGACCUGAUUACAAAUUGCAAAGGCCAGGCAGACCUGGGCAACCCCAAACAGAAGUCUCACCAUCUGCUUUGGCAACUUCCUCCAUGACUAACUGUGGAAGCAGAAAUACAGACUCACAGACUCUCGGAGUAGACAGGAUCUCAGAGUUCGGCGGGCCUCACCUCCCCUCGAUAUCACUGGUACAUCAACACAACGAUUGGCUUAUUGAACCCCCACUGAGUGCCAGAGGUCAUGGUGGGUGCUGCAGAGGAUAGGACGACACUGAACAAGGCUCUGCCACUGACCUCACAGUGGGGACACAGGUGAGUGAGCAAGUGAAUGGGAUAUCUUAUACACAUAGCAUAUAUAGGUAAACACUCAGGGGCUCAUGGCAGGGAACAUCACCCAGGGUUAAGGGGCGGUCAGAAAGGUGUCUUGGCAGAAGUUGAGUCUUUCCAAACCCACUUCUCUUUCUUAAUAUAUAAUUGACAAAAAAAAUUCAUACAUAGUAAUAUGUACAAAUUGUUUUAUGUAUACAUUAUGAAUGCCUCGAUGAUUAAGCUAAUCAGCAACCUCACAGAAUUGCCAUUUUCUUUUGAGAAGUGGAUUCUUAAAGGGAGAAAAGGAGUGAGCUGGAAAAAGUUUCAUAGGUGGAAGGGUGACGUUCCAGGAAGAGUUUACAGUAUGUACAAGGGACAUGGGCCAGAAAGGAAGAGAGAUGGGAAGAAGGAGGGGAGAGACAGAGAGGGCUGAGACCAGCACCAGGACCAGGAAAGGAAGCUGAGCUCUUUGCAUAUUUAGGGAACUGCCAGGAGUCCCCAGGCUGGAUUGUGAAGUUCAAGGCCAGGAACAGAGGGAGCUAAGGCCGGAGCAGUAGGAUGGUCCAGUUCGGGAGGGGCUUCACGGAGUUGGGACUUCAUCCUGAUGGGGUUCAGGACAUACUGCCCCCCAAAAUAGAACGUUGGCAUUUGAGAAAACAGCAAAAGCAGGAAGGUCACUCUCACCUUCCUUUGUUCCACCCUUCUCUCUGAAGCAGGUCAUCAGUCCCAGGAAGGAUUUCCUGACCUUCCCUUGAGGUAGGACGUUGGACCCUGGUGUGAGUGAUGCCUGCAUACUCAGAGGAAAGGAACAUCCUUAUUUCUGAAGACACAAGGACACAGAGGAGAAUCUGAUCCAACAAACCUGGUGACAUUCCCUCCAGGUUAUCACCCGCUUUGCUGGGCCACGCCUCUCUAUGACUGUGCGCUCUUCCUCCAACCUAGCAUAGCAAACACACAGGCUUCCCUGUUUCUCUGGUUCUUCAUUUCCUCUCAAAGGUUCCUGUGUCAUGUAAAACUCACAUUUCAUGCGUUUGUACGUUCUUCUCUUGUUCAUCUGUCUUUCAUUAUGGGGGCCUCAGCCAUGAAUCCAGUGGUGGGUGAAGAUACCCUGCCUGCCCUGCAGUCCCAAAAGCAACAAGGGACCCCUGAGGGUUGUGAGCAGCAUGGUCACUCGGGAACGCCAGGUGGCUGCUGAGGUUUCUCCGGUGGCCCAUGGGUGCCAGCUUCUUCCACUGUAAGGUGGGUCAAGUGGCUCGCACAUGUGCGUUCAAGCAGGGCCCAGAGCUGCCUCCACACGGACACAGGCGGGGGCCCUUUCCGGCCUCCCCGCUUUUCCACAGGCCACGUUCCUGAACUCUGAACACUCUCUGAGCCUACCCCGCCCCAAGUUUUCUUUAAUUCAGGGUUAACAUGUCUAAUCCCUUCUCCAGUUCUCUAGAAAAGUGAGUUCUUUACACCACAGGCGUUCCUUCAGCCUCUGGAUACAGAUGGAGCAUACAUGUCCUCGUGGGCAGUGUAGAUGUUAAGCCUCAAGUAUAAUCACUUGGUUUCUUUAUACAGCUUCUUUCUCUGAAGCUAGGAAUAUCCUGAUUUAGAUACCCUAAUGUCCACCAGCAACACGGCACCACAGUAAGGAAGGAUCCUGCCAGUCAGAAAGACCAGAGUUUAAAUUUUGGCUCAAUUAUGUAAUGUUUGUGUGACUCCAAGCAAGUGACGGAGCCUCUCUGAGCUUCUGUUUCUUCAUCUGUAUAAGGCCAACAAUAUCUAGCUUUAUGAGCUGUGAUGAUCUCAGUUAAUAUAGAUAGCAUCCUUGUACACAGUAGCACCAGAGCUCCAAUGCCUAUUCAAAACUAGAGACCAUGGUAAUAGCAAUAGUGAUCUCACUCUUCUACUUAUAGGUGUAUAAUCUGGGUCUCAUGAUUUAAUCAGAACCUCAGUCUCUCCAUCUAUUAAAAGAGAAUAAUAGCAACUGUUUGGCAGAGUUAUUUGAGAAUUCAACAGGAUAAAGGCACAUACGGCACACAGCAGGCUCUUUAAGUAGGCGUGUGUCCUUGCCUGUCGCCCUCCAGUGGAUUCUCCUGUCCCCUUGAGCCAUCACCUUUGUUGCUAGGCUUUUGUCUCUAUCUCCAGAUGUUCCCAUUGGGGUCCCAGGUUCCUUCUGGGUGAACAUCCUCUGAGAACAUCAGGAUCUCCUUUUCAGUUGACCGCGAUCAGAGGUAUUUUUCUGUGCCUGUUUUUCCUCUUGCCUGGCUAUCUCCUCUCCCCAUGAAAGGGUAUGUGGAAGUCCUACCUCCCUGCACCUGUGAAUGUGACUUUAUUUGAAAAUUUGGACUUUAUUUGGAAUGAUGCUUUCCCCAACUAUAUCACAUGAUUACAUCAAAGAUCAUGUUAAGUAUAGGUGAGUAUGUAUAUGCAUAUACACACAAAAAAUUUAUACACAUAUAUAAAAUCAUGAAGCCUUUUUAAAAAUAGGGACUGUUAAUUAUGCAUAAAACAUCUCCAUUCGUGCACACGAGUAUUAUUCUCUCAUAAUAGAUGGAGAAACUGAGGCUCUGAUUAAAUAAUGAGAAAUCUUUGCAGAUUUCAUCAAGUUAAGAUGAGGUCAUGAAGGUGGGCCCUGAUACAAUAUGACUGCUGUUUUUGUAAGAGGGAAAGAGAACGGUGUGUGAAAGAGACACAGAGGGAGAGGGUAGCCCUGUGAAGAAGGAGGCAAGGGGGGGCGAGACGCCGCCACAAGCCCAGAAACGCCAGGGGCUGCCGGAAGUUGGAACAGGCAAGGAAGGAUCCUCCCGUGGAAGGUUCAGAAAGAGCGUGGCCCUGCCAGCACCGUGAUUUCAGACUACUGUCCUCCAGAAAAUCUAUGUCUGUCAUCUGAAGCCACCUACUUUUUGGUACUUUGUGACAGCAGCCCUGGGAAGCUGACACAGUGGCCUCCCUACUAGAGUCCCUAGGACCGAAAGGUUUAUUAGUUUGUAAAAUAGACCUUCCUAAAGCCCACCUUUAGCAUGGAAAGCUGGAGACUCAAAUCAGAGAUGUAUUGCAUGAUUAUAUAGAAAAAAAUACAGGUCGGAUGGAUUAGGGGCGGGGUGAUUAAGAAGAAAAGCAAAUUGCUUAAAAAGACCCAAGCCACCGCCUUGCUCAUGGAUAAGAGAAAACCACUCAUAAAAGUCGAAAAGGACUGAAUUGAAUGUCAGGGCAGGAAGAGUGAUGGGGGCCUUAAUUCAACGGUCUCGGCGGGAGCUGGCAUUUUCAUGCUGAUUUUAUCUAAGAUUUUAGCUUGAACAAGGGAUACGGUUUACAGACUAAAAAUUAGCCACAAGGUAUAACUUUACCCCUGGCUUAACAGAAGACUGAAAGAAUAAAGCAAGCAGCUGUGUCAGAACUUGCCAGGCAACAUGAAAUGCUGUGGUUUGAACAAAGCUGAGCUGGGCUGAGAAUGAAUUACAGGAAGAAAGGCAGGAAGAAAAAGAAAGAGCUCCGGGGCUGUUUAUUCUUUGUGUACGGGACGCAUUGAAGAAAGUACUGAGUUCCACAUCACCAACCCAGCUGGAAAACGUGGGGGCAACCGAAGCAGAGGGAACAUGAGUCACCAGCUACUAACUCUCAGGAGCUCCAUAUUUGGGAGCUCGGCAAAGGGCUUGUCGUUUUUUGGAUGGAGUCUCGUGAGUUCUGGGGCUGCCGCUAGCUUCAGCCAAAUGUGGAACCCACAAGGCCAGCCCCCAAAUCACAGGCCUGCUCAGAGUAAGACACUGUACGCAGCUCUGCUGAAGUUUUCCUGUGCUGAAGCAAGCACAGAUGUUUCUCCAGUACCUCCCAUGUGCCAGGAACACAGCAGGGAGCAAAACCAAGUCCAGUACCCACCCACGGAGCCAACACUUCCGAGGAAGAAACAGAUUGUGAGCCAGUCCGUCAGCCUGCACUGCAUCAGGUGGUGUUGAGAACAGGUAACAGGUGACAGAGGGGGCCCCGUGGCCAUUUUGCAUGGCAUGUGAGGGAGGGCUGCCAGGUAAGGUGACCUGUGGCCUAGAGCUGAAUGACGAAGGGGAGGGAGUCUUGCAGGGAUCUCCCAGAAGCUCCUUCCAGGCAGAGGGACUGUCAGUGCAAAUGUCCAGUGUUGGGCAUUUUCUUGGCCUUUUGGGGGAACAUCAAAGAGCCCAUUUAGCUCCUCCCUCCCUGAAGCCUCUGGUAACCCCCGAUCUUUUUACUGGCUCCAUAAUUUUACAUUUUCCAGAAUGUUCUAGUUAGAAUCAUACAAUGUGCAGCUUUUUCGUAGCGGCUUCUUUCACUUAGCAACAUAUUUAGGUACUUUUUUAAUGCAAUUUUUAUUUUACAAAUGUAUAUGUUCUUUUUCAACUCAAAUGUAAGAUUUUUGAGAGUAGUGGGUUGAAGGCUGUAGAUAACAGGUGAGAAAUCAUGAUAGUGCUUUCUUAGAAUAAUUCCACUCUUUGAGAUACAUCUAUGUGCGCUAUGCAUCCCUGUAUCCUCCAACCCUUACCUAAAACUUUAAUUGGAUUAUUACCCCUAGUCUGUGACAUGCAAAUAUUCUAUUUAAAGGCUGAUCCUUUCUUUCUUUUAAGAAAAACUUUAGCGGAUGCAUAGUAGGUAUAUAUAUUUAUGGGUUAUAUGAGAUGUUUUGAUACAGGUAUGCAAUGCAUAAUAAUCACAUCAGGGUAAAUGGGGUCUCCAUCACCUCAAGCAUUUGUCCUCUGUAUUUCAAACAAUCAGUUAUAAUCUUUUAGUUAUUUUUAAAGGUACAAUUAAAUUAUUUUCGACCGUAGUCAUCCUGUCGUGCUAGCAAAUACUAGGUCUUAUUCUUUCUAUGAUUUGUACCCAUUAACCCUCUUCCCCCCUCAACAAUCCCCUCCCUGCAAUGCCCUUUUCAGCCUCUGAUAACCAUCCUUCUACUCUGUCUUUAUGAGCUCAAUUAUUUUAUUUUUUAGCUCCCACAAAUAAGUGAGAACGUGCGAAGUUUGUCCUUCUGUGCCUGGCUUAUUUUACUUAACA